UUGGCACAGAAAUCCUAUCCUCUACACUU
rnacentral:piRNA from 1 species